GGGAAAUUCAUUCAGUGGAAAUUCUGUUUGGUUUGCAAGAGAUGGAUUGGAGAGUGGCCUGAGGCAGGUAGACUCAGGUAGGCCGAGUCCUGCUUCCACAGCUGUGCCAAGAUGAGCCAUACCAGACUCUCUGAGGACAGAGAUAGCAGGAGAAACAAAUGGCACUUCCCUUGUCAUCCCUUUGCUGAGGUAGCAGUGCUGUGAAGAGCAGUGCUUGGUAAAAUAAACACUUGAGAUGUUCCUCAUUGUCUUAGCAAUUACAGCGGAGAUAUUGCACUGAGCAUCGAUUUGGAUCGCACCAGACCUCAACGAGACAGCUUCAAACAUUACACUAAGCAGCUCUGCUCUCCUUCUGUAGGUUUGUUGGGUCACACCAUCUGUGGCAAUGGCUUUCACCAGCUGCAGGACUGGGUUUUCACUGUCCUUCAGAACAGCAUUUUGAAAUGUUGAGCUGUCACAGAAGGCACAACAUAAGCACUGAAAAAAAGCAUCAAAUGCACAGUUUCAUCUGCAUGGAGCCAUUCGGUACAUGAAGAGAGGUAGGAAGUCCUCUUCCUUUUUUUGGGUGGAACAGCUAGGCCCCUCCAGUUCUCAACUGCAUCCCCAUCAGCCAGAGGAAUGUUUGUGGCAGCAUCAGAUCCCACAAACGGAACAAAUCCGCAUAUUUCCCUCGAUGAAGGAAAGAUGACGAGCAAUGAAGCGAUCGACUCGAACAGGCAAGUUUUCAUGUUUGAAAAGGCCAUGUUUUAUGUUUUUGAACUCAGCUUCAACAGUGGCUGAACUUGCUGUGAUGCUGGUGCUUUGAAACAGAGGGACCAUUAUUCCUGUCCAGAGUGGCAAGUAACUUGCCAGUCUUAUUAUAUGAGGAAUAAUCUCAGGGAGAAAGUGAAUAUUAUCUCUAUCCCCGUUUGCUGCAGCAAGUGACCUGCUCUCCUCACAUAUUUCUGUUACCCACUGUCGUAAGUCAGUCUGGAUCUCAUCCACUGAAUCCACUCUCUCACUUUCCUCUGUCUGUUCAUCUGGAAUGAUGAUGGAGUCUUGAGCAAUUUGGGCUUUCAGGUAUUUCUUGCACCUUUCUGAAGGAAGAGGGGAUCCAGAACUGUCAUCACCUUCUGCCUCACUGAGGGCCACAACAGUGAUAGCACGCAGUCCCACUGGCAUAUCAUCUUGAUGCAGUGCGCAACAUCAACCCUGAUAAAACAAGGCGGGAGUUUGGCAGACUGGGUUCCAAGAAGGACAUGAAAGCAUUCAUUAAGUAGUGACAGAAAAACCUGUCCAGUCCAAUAUCUUGGAUGCUACCACUAGUGGCCAAAUUUGAAAGGUGGCUUGGCUCAGGAUCUCCAACAUCCAUCAGAUCUGCUGCCUUCGCUGACCUCCAUACAGCCGGUUCCAUUCUGCCCUCACACAG